rnacentral:rRNA from 1 species
UACGGAGGUCCCAAGCGUUGUUCGGAUUCAUUGGGCGUAAAGGGUGUGUAGGUGGCGCCGUAAGUCGGGUGUGAAAUUUCGGAGCUUAACUCCGAAACUGCAUUCGAUACUGCGGUGCUUGAGGACUGGAGAGGAGACUGGAAUUCAUGGUGUAGCAGUGAAAUGCGUAGAGAUCAUGAGGAAGACCAGUGGCGAAGGCGGGUCUCUGGACAGUUCCUGACACUGAGACACGAAGGCCAGGGGAGCAAACGGG